rnacentral:rRNA from 1 species
AAGCUCGUAGUUGAAUUUCGGGGUUAGUAGGUUGGUCAUGCCUCUGGUAUGUACUGGUCUCACUGAUUCCUCCUUCCUUAUGAACCGUAAUGCCAUUAAUUUGGUGUUGCGGGGAAUUUGGACUGUUACUUUGAAAAAUUAGAGUGUUUAAAGCAAGCUAACGCUUGAAUACAUUAGCAUGGAAUAAUGAAAUAGGACGUUCGAUCUUAUUUUGUUGGUUUCUAGGAUUGACGUAAUGAUUAAUAGGGAUAGUUGGG